CGGACGGGUGAGUAAUGUCUGGGAAACUGCCCGAUGGGGGGGAUAACUACUGGAAACGGUAGCUAAUACCGCAUAACGUCGCAAGACCAAAGAGGGGGACCUUAGGGCCUCUUGCCAUCGGAUGUGCCCAGAUGGGAUUAGCUAGUAGGUGGGGUAAUGGCUCACCUAGGCGACGAUCCCUAGCUGGUCUGAGAGGAUGAUCAGCCACACUGGGACUGAGACACGGCCCAG
rnacentral:rRNA from 1 species